CACGUAGGGUGCGAGCGUUGUCCGGAAUUAUUGGGCGUAAAGAGCUCGUAGGCGGUGUGUCGCGUCGGACGUCGAACUGAACUGGCUUAACCUGUGGCUUGCGGUCGAUACGGGCAUCACUUGGAGUUCGGCAGGGGAGACUGGAAUUCCUGGUGUAGCGGUGAAAUGCGUAGAGAUCCGGAAGAACACCGGUGGCGAAGGCGGCCUGCUGGGCAGUGGCUGACGCUGAGGCGCGACAGCGUGGGGGAGCAAACAGG
rnacentral:rRNA from 1 species